GUGGGGAAUAUUGGGCAAUGGGGGAAACCCUGACCCAGCAACGCCGCGUGAAGGAAGAAGGUUUUCGGAUCGUAAACUUCUAUCCUUGGUGAAGAUAAUGACGGUAGCCAAGAAGGAAGCCCCGGCUAACUACGUGCCAGCAGCCGCGGUAAUACGUAGGGGGCAAGCGUUGUCCGGAAUGAUUGGGCGUAAAGGGCGCGUAGGCGGCAUGGUAAGUCUGGAGUGAAAGUCCUGCUUUUAAGGUGGGAAUUGCUUUGGUUACUGUCGGGGUUGAUUGCAGGAGAGGUAAGUGGAAUUCCCGGUGUAGCGGUGAAAUGCGUAGAGAUCGGGAGGAACACCAGUGGCGAAGGCGACUUACUGGACUGUAACUGACGCUGAGGCGCGAAAGUGUGGGGAGCAAACAGGAUUAGAAACCCGUGUAGUCC
rnacentral:rRNA from 1 species